CUUCAGCUGUGGGGCCACAGAAGGCAGGACUCAGUGAUGAUCUCUACCAUGGCCUGGCCCCCUGUCCUUCUCACCCUUGUUGCAUUCUCCACAGGAUCCUGGGCCCAGUCUGUGCUGACUCAGCCGCCCUCAGUGACAGGGACCCCAAGCCAGGGGGUCACCAUCUCCUGCACUGGAGGUGGUUAUUAUGUGUCAUGGUACCAACAGCUCCCAGGAACAGCCCCCAAACUCCUGAUAUAUGAGAAUAGCAAACGAGCCCCCGCGGUCCCUGACCGAUUCUCUGGCUCCAAGUCUGGCAAUUCAGCCUCCCUGACCAUCACUGGGCUGAAGUUUGAGGACGAUGCUGAUUAUUACUGCCAGUCCUACGACAGCAGUGCUGGUGCUUGCACAGUGCUCCAGGCCCAUGGGGAAGGCAGUGGGUUCCUGGCUGCGUCCUGGGAGGGCGUGUCCCUGAUCACCUUCCUCAGGGUGGAAGAGUAA